ACUGCAGUGGUUUACCUCAGCUCUGCCGAUUUGGGUUAGUUUUGGCUGAUUGUGGCCGGUUUUAUACGUAUUCCUGUGAAAAAAUGCGUUAAAGGGCCUUGAUUGGCCAAAAAUAACAAAAAAAACUGAACCUAUUGGCGAGGGGGUCUCCUGGUACGACGGCUCUAUCGGUUCUCCUUCGCAACUAGGAUUUCUUCUUCUGCUAAUCUACACAGAAAAAGACAAUGAACAUAAUGAUCAAAAAAUUGCGUAAAACAGAAAACGAAAAAUUGCUCAUCGAAAGGGGUUUUGGGUUUCAGCCGUCGUAGCUCUGCUGGACUUUGCCUACAAUUUUUGGCUCAUUCGCCGCCUUUUUGCUCCGAUAUGGCGAUUGGGAUACUCGAAAUCAAAUUCCAAGCGGGUAUGGGAGAAUUUUACUUUUUUGGUGGUCGACAGUGGCUACAGUGCGGCGAUGACUGGGGGUCGGUCCCCUUCUCUGGCGAGGGUAGGGCGGCUAGGGUUAGGGUUCCCCUACAACGCGAUAUUUAUAUACUCAUCCCGCGUCGAUUUGGGUCAUUCAAUCUUUACUUGUGUAGGCUGAUUGCAUGGGCAAAUUUGGGUUAUCCAUCGUGAUUGAUCUCGUCCGUCGGAUCCCACCUAAAGAGGAAACGAAUCUUAAUCAUUCACGCGCGCGAGAUUAAACCUUAGCCGUCGGAUCACUGGGCACGUGGAUCGUCCAUGUGGCCUCCUGCGUGGCACCGACGUCAACGUGUUUUGACACGCGGCGUGUUCCGAUUCGUCGAAAUUGCUGACUGG
rnacentral:lncRNA from 1 species